AUUGAACGCUGGCGGAAUGCUUUACACAUGCAAGUCGAACGGUGGAGGGGGCAACCCCUCGAGAGUGGCGAACGGGUGAGUAAUAUAUCGGAACGUGCCCAGUCGUGGGGGAUAACGUAGCGAAAGUUACGCUAAUACCGCAUACGAUCUAAGGAUGAAAGCGGGGGAUCGCAAGACCUCGUGCGAUUGGAGCGGCCGAUAGUAGAUGAGGUAGUUGGUGGGGAAAAGGCUCACAAAGCAAGCGAUCUGUAGCUGUUCUGAGAGGACGACCGGCCACACUGGAACGGGGACAGGGUCCAGACUCCUACGGGGGGCAGCAGGGGGGAAUUUUGGACAAUGGACGCAAGUCUGAUCCAGCCAUUCCGCGUGGAGGAUAAAGGCCCUCGGGUUGUAAACUGUUUUUGUACGGAACGAAAAGGUCUCUCUUAAUACGGGGGACUCAUGACGGUACCGUAAGAAUAAGCACCGGCUAACUACGUGCCAGCAGCCGCCGUAA
rnacentral:rRNA from 1 species